rnacentral:rRNA from 1 species
UAAUACGUAGGGUGCGAGCGUUAAUCGGAAUUACUGGGCGUAAAGCGUGCGCAGGCGGUUUUGUAAGCCAGAUGUGAAAUCCCCGGGCUCAACCUGGGAAUGGCAUUUGGGACUGCAAGGCUGGAGUGUGGCAGAGGGGACUAGAAUUCCUGGUGUAGCAGUGAAAUGCGUAGAUAUCAGGAGGAAUACCGAUGGCGAAGGCAGGUCCCUGGGUUAACACUGACGCUCAUGCACGAAAGCGUGGGGAGCAAACAGG